CUGUCGCUUCCAGAUGAGCCCGCGUCCGAUUAGCUUGUUGGUGAGGUAACGGCUCACCAAGGCCACGAUGACUAGGGGGUCUGAGAGGAUGAUCCCCCACACUGGUACUGAGACACGGACCAGACUCCUACGGGAGGCAGCAGUGAGGAAUAUUGGGCAAUGGACGCAAGUCUGACCCAGCCAUGCCGCGUGCAGGAUGACUGCCCUAUGGGUUGUAAACUGCUUUUGUUUGGGAAGAAACCCCCGAUCGUGAUCGGGGCUGACGGUACCAUACGAAUAAGCAUCGGCUAACUCCGUGCCAGCAGCCGCGGUAAUACGGAGGAUGCAAGCGUUAUCCGGAUUCAUUGGGUUUAAAGGGUGCGCAGGCGGAAUAUUAAGUCAGUGGUGAAAUCCUGCAGCUUAACUGUAGAACUGCCAUUGAUACUGAUAUUCUUGAAUAUAGUUGAGGUGGGCGGAAUGUGUAAUGUAGCGGUGAAAUGCUUAGAUAUUACACAGAACACCAAUUGCGAAGGCAGCUCACUAAACUAAUAUUGACGCUGAGGCACGAAAGCGUGGGUAGCAAACAGGAUUAGAUACCCUGGUAGUCCACGCUGUAAACUAUGAUCACUCGCUGUUGGCAAUACAUCGUCAGCGGCUGAGCGAAAGCAUUAAGUGAUCCACCUGGGGAGUACGGUCGCAAGAUUGAAACUCAAAGGAAUUGACGGGGGCCCGCACAAGCGGAGGAACAUGUGGUUUAAUUCGAUGAUACGCGAGGAACCUUACCUGGGCUUAAAUGCAGAGCGACGUCCGCCGAAAGGUGGAUUCCUUCGGGCGAUCUGCAAGGUGCUGCAUGGUUGUCGUCAGCUCGUGCCGUGAGGUGUCGGGUUAAGUCCCAUAACGAGCGCAACCCUUAUCGUUAGUUGCCAGCGGGUAAUGCCGGGGACUCUAACGAAACUGCCGGUGUAAACCGUGAGGAAGGUGGGGAUGACGUCAAAUCAGCACGGCCCUUAUGUCCAGGGCUACACACGUGUUACAAUGGUCGGUACAGAGGGCAGCUACCACGCAAGUGGAUGCUAAUCUCGAAAACCGGUCUCAGUUCGGAUUGAAGUCUGCAACUCGACUUCAUGAAGCUGGAUUCGCUAGUAAUCGCGCAUCAGCCAUGGCGCGGUGAAUACGUUCCCGGGCCUUGUACACACCGCCCGUCAAGCCAUGGAAGCUUGGGGUACCUGAAGUCCGUA
rnacentral:rRNA from 1 species